CGCGGCCCGCGAGCGGUCGCUAUGGCUGCGGAUCGCGAGCGUGGAGAUGCGGGGAUUCGCUCUCCUCCCUGCGGGGUUCUGGGGUCGGAGCAGCCCCUCUGUACCCGGACCCCCAGGGACAGCGAGGGCGGAGGGACCGCGGGUCGCUCCUUCAGGAGGACACCAGUUGGACCAUCCAGAAAAUUAAAUGCAAGCUUUAAAUCACCAUUAAAGACCUCCCAACACCCUGAGCUCAAUUCUGCUAGUCUUCAAUUUGACCUGGAAAAUCUGAAGAAGAAAUGCGAAGAUCUUGACCGUCAGAUUGCAGGAUUGAUCUUGGAAGGGUACACUCUGGAAGAGUUGGACCAGCACAUUGACCAGCUCCACGAAUACAAUGACAUCAAGGAUGUGGGCCAGUUACUGUUGGGAAAACUGGAACUCUCAUCUUGAACACUAACAAUGAGAAAUCCGUGGCAAACUUUGAAAGAAAAAUUACACAUGCUCCUUUUGAAGUGAAUAUUUUACAAGCAGUAAGACUGUAAUCAGAGGGGUCACCACCAGGGAACUGUACAGUGAGUUUGGACUGGACUUGGAAGACUAGACUGCAACAGGAAAGAGCCCCACACGAUUCGAAGGUGGCUGGGAAUCUUCAUCUGUCGCAAUUGGAUCUUCGUAUUGAUUCCAUCAGCAAAGAUAUUGAGGGCAGGAAGAGGAAUAAUCAGCUAUGGCCAAAAGGCCACCUAGAAAGCUGAAGGUGAAGCCUGGCGCAAUGGCAGAUACCCAGUAAAAACCCAGUUAGUUUUAUGUGGUAUUGGUGAUGGAUGUUUUGGCAGUUGUGGGGUUGUCUUAUGGACAUGUUGUCCACUGUGUUUCUAUUUCACCUUCACCUCUGACCACCUGUCCUGAUUUUAUUUUCCUUUUUUUGAGGUGUUUGUGUAACUCAGAGCACCCUGCCUUGUUCAAUACUUUCCACCCUGCCCAUCCAUUCUGGGCAGGAAGGAUUAGCAUGCUGAAAUUAACAGCCCGUUUAUUGAGAUAUAACUUUCAGUUUGACCACCUGGAAACUCUCCAAUUAAUCCACAAUGGAAUGCUUGAGAAAUGGGCUACAAUCGGUUCCGGUGAUAGUUGCUUCCGUUCCUAGUGAGUGGGAAGUGAGUGCCUGAAGGUUGUUCCAUCAUUAGGGGCAUCACAGUUGAGUCCAGUUCAGGCCGGACUCCACCCAAGUCAUUUCUGCAGCGGGGGUCACUGGGCAGUGAUCAGGAGCAGAAACUCUGACAAAAUACAUCCUCCACACUCUGGUCUGUGGGCACUGAGGCUAGUUGCACUGCUGCCUGCAACAACCUUGCUGUCAACUCUGAGAUUACCGAGCUCCACUCAUGUCAAGGAUUAAACCUGCACUUGGCACUUCAUUGAGAGGUCACCAGGGACGAAAUUGUGCCAAUUUAUGAGCCUUUGCUUUGUAAUUGUUGUUCAUCGAAUGUAAAGGAUCAAAAUAAAUCAGUUAUAAGUAUC